GUGCCAGCAGCCGCGGUAAUACGUAGGGGGCAAGCGUUAUCCGGAAUAACUGGGCGUAAAGGGUGCGUAGGCGGCCCUGCAAGUCAGAAGUGAAAGGCUACGGCUCAACCGUAGUAAGCUUUUGAAACUGUAGGGCUUGAGUGCAGGAGAGGAGAGUAGAAUUCCUAGUGUAGCGGUGAAAUGCGUAGAUAUUAGGAGGAAUACCAGUUGCGAAGGCGGCUCUCUGGACUGUAACUGACGCUGAGGCACGAAAGCGUGGGGAGCAAACA
rnacentral:rRNA from 1 species